rnacentral:rRNA from 1 species
GACAGAGGGGGCAAGCGUUGCUCGGAAUUACUGGGCGUAAAGGGCGCGUAGGCGGGAUGGCAAGUCGGUCGUGAAAUCCUUCGGCUCAACCGAAGAACGUCGAUCGAUACUGCUGUUCUUGAGGGGUGCAGAGGAGACUGGAAUUCCCGGUGUAGCGGUGAAAUGUGUAGAGAUCGGGAGGAACACCGGUGGCGAAGGCGGGUCUCUGGACAGUUCCUGACACUGAGGCACGAAGGCCAGGGGAGCAAACGGG